AAGGAUUCCUCCUCAAGUUUCAGAGGGAGCAUGACCUUGCUAACACCUUGAUCUUGGACUUCCAGCCUCCAGGACUGUGAGACAAUCCGUUUCUGUUGCUUAAGCCACGCGGUCUGUGGUACUUUCGUUAUGGCUGCCCUAGCAA
rnacentral:miRNA from 1 species